rnacentral:rRNA from 1 species
ACGGAAGGCAGCAGUGGGGGAUAUUGCACAAUGGGGGAAACCCUGAUGCAGCGACGCCGCGUGAGUGAAGAAGUAUUUCGGUAUGUAAAGCUCUAUCAGCAGGAAAGAUAAUGACGGUACCUGACUAAGAAGCACCGGCUAAAUACGUGCCAGCAGCCGCGGUAAUACGUAUGGUGCAAGCGUUAUCCGGAUUUACUGGGUGUAAAGGGAGCGCAGACGGCAUGGCAAGCCAGAUGUGAAAGGCAGGGGCUCAACUCCUGGACUGCAUUUGGAACUGUCAAGCUAGAUUAUCGGAGAGGUAAGUGGAAUUCCUAGUGUAGCGGUGAAAUGCGUAGAUAUUAGGAGGAACACCAGUGGCGAAGGCGGCUUACUGGACGAUAACUGACGUUGAGGCUCGAAAGCGUGGGGAGCAAACAGGAUUAGAUACCCUGGUA